rnacentral:lncRNA from 1 species
UGGAAAUAUACAGUAGGCACUCUUUUUAAAGAUAUAAUGGAUUAUUUUAUUAGAUGUAAUAAUUUCCGGAGUAACUCCACAUUGAUGCAUGUAUUAGUAGGGAAGUACCUUUUGGUAGCUGAAUACUAUUCCAUUAUAUGGUUAUACCAUAUUUUCCUUAUUCAUUGCUGAUGAACAUUUGGGUUAUUUCGAGUUUGAGAUAACUCCUUGUAUUCCAAAUUCCAUCUCAGCCUCCCCUCCUAGAGAGUCUAAAA